rnacentral:rRNA from 1 species
UACGUACGAGGCGAGCGUUAUCCGGAAUUACUGGGCGUAAAGCGCGCGCAGGCGGACCAUUAAGUUGGGCGUGAAAUCUCCCGGCCUAACUGGGAGGGGUCGCCCAAGACUGGUGGUCUUGAGGACAGCAGAGGUGGGUGGAAUUCCUGGUGUAGCGGUGGAAUGCGCAGAUAUCAGGAGGAACACCGGUGGCGAAGGCGGUUCUCUGGGCAUGUCCUGACGCUGAGGAGCGAAAGUGUGGGGAGCGAACAGG